CUACGGGGGGCUGCAGUGGGGAAUAUUGGACAAUGGGCGAAAGCCUGAUCCAGCCAUGCCGCGUGUGUGAAGAAGGCCUUCGGGUUGUAAAGCACUUUCAGUGGGGAAGAAAGCCUUGGGGCUAAUACCCUCGAGGAAGGACAUCACCCACAGAAGAAGCACCGGCUAACUCCGUGCCAGCAGCCGCGGUAAUACGGAGGGUGCGAGCGUUAAUCGGAAUUACUGGGCGUAAAGCGCGCGUAGGCGGUCUGAUAAGCCGGUUGUGAAAGCCCCGGGCUCAACCUGGGAACGGCAUCCGGAACUGUCAGGCUAGAGUGCAGGAGAGGAAGGUAGAAUUCCCGGUGUAGCGGUGAAAUGCGUAGAGAUCGGGAGGAAUACCAGUGGCGAAGGCGGCCUUCUGGACUGACACUGACGCUGAGGUGCGAAAGCGUGGGUAGCAAACAGGAUCAGAUACCCCGGUAGUC
rnacentral:rRNA from 1 species